rnacentral:rRNA from 1 species
UACAGAGACUGCAAGCGUUAUUCGGAUUCACUGGGCGUAAAGGGUGCGCAGGCGGCCAAGUGUGUCAGGUGUGAAAUCCCGAGGCUUAACCUCGGAACUGCGCCUGAAACUACUUGGCUAGAGUACUGGAGAGGGUAACGGAAUUCCCGGUGUAGCAGUGAAAUGCGUAGAGAUCGGGAGGAACACCAGUGGCGAAGGCGGCUACCUGGACCAGCACUGACACUGAGGCACGAAAGCGUGGGGAGCAAACAGG